rnacentral:rRNA from 1 species
ACGAACGCUGGCGGCAUGCCUAACACAUGCAAGUCGAACGAGACCUUCGGGUCUAGUGGCGCACGGGUGCGUAACGCGUGGGAACCUGCCCUUAGGUUCGGAAUAACUCCCCGAAAGGGGUGCUAAUACCGGAAAUGUCUUCGGACCAAAGAUUUAUCGCCUUUGGAUGGGCCCGCGUUGGAUUAGCUAGUUGGUAGGGUAAAAGCCUACCAAGGCGACGAUCCAUAGCUGGUCUGAGAGGAUGAUCAGCCACACUGGGACUGAGACACGGCCCAGACUCCUACGGGAGGCAGCAGUGGGGAAUAUUGGACAAUGGGCGAAAGCCUGAUCCAGCAAUGCCGCGUGAGUGAUGAAGGCCUUAGGGUUGUAAAGCUCUUUUACCCGGGAUGAUAAUGACAGUACCGGGAGAAUAAGCUCCGGCUAACUCCGUG